rnacentral:rRNA from 1 species
UGGUAACCUGCCUCAAAGAGGGAAUAGCCUCCGAGAGGAGAUUAAUACCGCAUAAUAUGUUUAGGUCG